rnacentral:sRNA from 1 species
GGAGUUGGGAGGCGGCAAGAGGACCUGCGGCAGGCCCUCUUCGGCAGUCUCUCCGGCCCGGUUUCCCUCGGCGUGCUACUGUGCGCUCGAUCCAGCACCAUGGGGAAGCGGGACAAUCGGGUGGCCUAUAUGAACCCAAUAGCAAUGGCGAGAUCAAGGGGUCCAAUCCAGUCUUCAGGGCCAACAAUACAGGAUUAUCUGAAUCGACCAAGGCCUACCUGGGAAGAAGUAAAAGAGCAACUAGAAAAGAAAAAGAAAGGCUCCAAGGCUUUGGCUGAAUUUGAAGAAAAAAUGAAUGAGAACUGGAAGAAAGAACUGGAAAAACACAGGGAGAAAUUGUUAAGUGGAAGUGAGAGCUCAUCCAAAAAAAGACAGAGAAAGAAAAAAGAAAAGAAGAAAUCUGGUAGGGUGAGCAAAAAUUUUCCAUUUUUCUAAACGUUACAAUUAAGAGCCAACAAAAAAAGUAAGAAUAAUUUGUUUAACCUGUAUGCUAAAGGUAGCUUAAACUCCAGAUGAGUCAAGGAACUUAGAGGUUCUUUGAUUGUGAAGAGUGAUUUUGUUCUAUCACUGACAUAAAAAACGGUGCCAACCACCUUAUAACGUAGUACAUUUUCUGUUGCUAUUUAAAGAGAAAGAUUGGUGACCAUGGCCACAUAUGUUAACUUGUUGAGCUUUUGUACAGGGAACAAGUGUGACAUUUUAUAUUUUCAUAUUUAUGACUUAUGAAUAUGGCAUCUGUUUCUCAGACACUAGAUUGAUUUCACUAAGUAUUUGAGAGACUUUGUAAAAGAAAAACAUUCUUGCAUCUCACAAGCUUUAAUUGUUUUGUGCUUGGUCAAGUAUUCAUCUUCUUCUUCAUCAAGCUCUGAUUCUUCCAGCAGUUCUUCUGAUUCUGAAGAUGAGGAUAAGAAACAAGGAAAACGGAGAAAGAAAAAGAAGAACCGUUCACAUAAAUCUUCUGAAAGCUCCAUGUCAGAAACUGAAUCAGACAGUAAGGAUAGUUUAAAAAAGAAAAAGAAGUCAAAAGAUGGAACUGAGAAAGAAAAGGAUAUUAAAGGACUCAGCAAAAAGAGAAAGAUGUAUUCUGAAGAUAAACCUUUAUCAUCUGAGUCCUUGUCAGAAUCAGAGUAUAUUGAGGAGGAAAAAACAAAAAAGAAAAAGAAGCAUAAGAAACACAGUAAGAAGAAGAAAAAGAAGGCUGCUAGUUCAAGUCCUGACUCACCGUAACAUUAAGAAAAAUCAGGAUUCCCUUAUAAAGAAAGUGCAAUGUCUGAGGAAAUUUCAACUGUGAAAACUACAACAUAUUUACUAAAAUGCAUGAAUUUUCUUGUUUUUAGAAUUAUUCCUGGACUAUUCAGUAGCCACUCAGAUGCCACUGUGUGAAAGGGCCAUAAAUGUUGCCUGCUGCUUGAACAUCUAUUUUUUUCUCUUCCAGUGCUUGAUAACUCUGGGAGAUAAUACACUGCAGUCGUACUAGUGGUUAAGAUAUUUGGGAAUAAAAUUAAUACUUUUGACUAGAAGCGUCUAAGGAUAAACCAACAGAAAUUGAAUCUGGAUACAUCUUUAAGAUGUAAUCAGAAAUGACCAGAUGACUCUAGUUAGAAUUUUUGAAGGAGGGAUUACAUUAAUAUUUCAAAACCCUUACUCUGUAGAUAAGUGUAUUUUAAUUUUUUCCCCUCGUAUACUUUCAUUUACCUGGGGAAGGAGCUUUUAGGGUUGGGGGGUGGUUUGCUAUCUCUUUAGCUAGCAGAAUAGUGUGCCUUUGAUCCUCACACAUCCUGUAUUAUGGACACAGUAGCCAUGCUUCACGGGGAGGUCAGAGCUGGCUACCAGCAGUCUUGCCCUUUACUGAGCUUAGUGUCAUCUUUGGAUGCUGUCAUAUGCUGCUUUGAGUGAACCAGAGAAACAGCCAUUUGCAGCAUGAGAAAGCCCCAAAAGCUCUGGGAUUUACCUCCACUUUAGUAAUAAUGAAUAUUUUUUAGCAUUAGAAUGUGUUAUGUCAUUUGAAUUAAUUUUGACUACACUUUGGCUUGGGAGAGGAAUUAUUUUAAAUAGACAUUGGUACUUUUUGAACUUGAUAGCUAAAGAUUCUAAAAUGCAUGUUUUAUACUAAGUUUUAACCAGUCAGGAAAAUUUUAUGUAACUAGUGAUAGUUUAUUUUUUUGUAUGAAUUUUGUUUAGGCUGCAAUGUUUAGCUUUUGUUAACUCCUCACUCUUGCUGUCUUAAGUUCAUUACUAUGUUUAAUGGCCUACUUGCCAAGAUAUUUAGCAUGUAAAAAGCAGGGUUUUGAUU